CGUACACUCCUACGGGAGGCAGCAGUGGGGAAUUUUGGACAAUGGGCGAAAGCCUGAUCCAGCCAUGCCGCGUGCAGGAUGAAGGCCUUCGGGUUGUAAACUGCUUUUGUACGGAACGAAACGGCCUUUUCUAAUAAAGAGGGCUAAUGACGGUACCGUAAGAAUAAGCACCGGCUAACUACGUGCCAGCAGCCGCGGUAAUACGUAGGGUGCAAGCGUUAAUCGGAAUUACUGGGCGUAAAGCGUGCGCAGGCGGUUAUGUAAGACAGUUGUGAAAUCCCCGGGCUCAACCUGGGAACUGCAUCUGUGACUGCAUAGCUAGAGUACGGUAGAGGGGGAUGGAAUUCCGCGUGUAGCAGUGAAAUGCGUAGAUAUGCGGAGGAACACCGAUGGCGAAGGCAAUCCCCUGGACCUGUACUGACGCUCAUGCACGAAAGCGUGGGGAGCAAACAGGAUUAGAUACCCGGGUAGUCCCAUGA
rnacentral:rRNA from 1 species